CUCUCCCUUCCUUCCUGUGCCGGUGUGCACGAUUGCCAGCGACUGGAGUCGUCGGAUUUUGUUGGAGAAAAUAUCCUCUAUUUCAGCCCCUCUUCUUCUUAGUUUUUCGGUGCCGGUGGUCACCGCCGAUCGUUGGAUUUACUUCUUUUGAGUUGCCCUGUUGUCGGCCACCAUUGUGCCGGUCGCAUCACUAAUCGGCCGACCAAACAAGGGGACCACA
rnacentral:lncRNA from 1 species